UGCAUCGGCCAGGAAUCGAACCCGGGCCGCCCGCGUGGCUGGCGAGCAUUCUACCACUGAACCACCGAUGG
rnacentral:tRNA from 1 species